rnacentral:rRNA from 1 species
CAGUCGCCGCGGUAAUACAGAGGGUGCAAGCGUUAAUCGGAAUUACUGGGCGUAAAGCACGCGUAGGUGGUUUGUUAAGUUGGAUGUGAAAUCCCCGGGCUCAACCUGGGAACUGCAUUCAAAACUGACUGACUAGAGUAUGGUAGAGGGUGGUGGAAUUUCCUGUGUAGCGGUGAAAUGCGUAGAUAUAGGAAGGAACACCAGUGGCGAAGGCGACCACCUGGACUAAUACUGACACUGAGGUGCGAAAGCGUGGGGAGCAAACAGGAUUAGAUACCCCAGUAGUCCCUGUCUCUUAUAC